UACAGAGGUCCCAAGCGUUGUUCGGAUUCAUUGGGCGUAAAGGGUGCGUAGGCGGCGCGGUAAGUCGGGUGUGAAAUCUCGGAGCUUAACUCCGAAACUGCAUUCGAUACUGCCGUGCUUGAGGACUGGAGAGGAGACUGGAAUUUACGGUGUAGCGGUGAAAUGCGUAGAUAUCGUAAGGAACACCAGUGGCGAAGGCGGCUCACUGGACCGGUACUGACGCUGAUGCGCGAAAGCGUGGGGAGCAAACGGG
rnacentral:rRNA from 1 species